GACGAACGCUGGCGGCGUGCUUAACACAUGCAAGUCGAACGGAAAGACCCUGCUUUUGUGGGGUGCUCGAGUGGCGAACGGGUGAGUAUCACGUGAGUAACCUGCCCUUGACUCUGGGAUAACUUCAGGAAACUCGGGUUCUAACCGGAUAUGAGCCUCUGCUCCGUGGUGGUGGUUGGAAAGUUUCGGCGGUUGGUGAUGGACUCGCGGCUUAUCAGCUUGUUGGUGGGGGAGUGGCUUACCAAGGCUUUGACGGGUAGCCGGCCUGAGAGGGUGGACGGGCACAAUGGGACUGAGGGAGGGCGCAGACGGCAACGGGAGGCAGCAGUGGGAAAUAUUGCGGAGCGACGGGAAGCCAGAUGCGGAGGCGCCGGGUGCGGGAAGACCGCCUUCGAGUUGUAAACAGCUUUCGCCUGAGACGAAGCGUGAGUGACGGUAAUGAAUAAAGAAGCAACGGCUAACUACGUG
rnacentral:rRNA from 1 species